rnacentral:rRNA from 1 species
CCUACGGGAGGCAGCAGUGGGGGAUAUUGCACAAUGGGGGAAACCCUGAUGCAGCGACGCCGCGUGGGUGAAGAAGGGCCUCGGCGCGUAAAGCCCUGUCAGCAGGGAAGAAAAUGACGGUACCUGAAGAAGAAGCCCCGGCUAACUACGUGCCAGCAGCCGCGGCACUACGUAGGGGGCAAGCGUUAUCCGGAUUUACGGGGUGUAAAGGGGGCGCAGACGGCGAUGCAAGCCAGGAGGGAAAGCCCGGGGCCCAACCCCGGGACUGCUCUUGGAACUGCGUGGCUAGAGUGCAGGAGGGGCAGGCGGAAUUCCUGGUGUAGCGGUGAAAUGCGUAGAUAUCAGGAGGAACACCGGUGGGGAAGGCGGCCUGCUGGACUGCAACUGACGUUGAGGCCCGAAAGCGUGGGGAGCAAACAGGAUUAGAGACCCGGGUAGUC